CACGUAGGGCGCAAGCGUUGUCCGGAAUUAUUGGGCGUAAAGAGCUCGUAGGCGGUCUGUUGCGUCCGCUGUGAAAACUCGGGGCUUAACCCCGAGCCUGCAGUGGAUACGGGCAGACUAGAGGUAGGUAGGGGAGAAUGGAAUUCCCGGUGUAGCGGUGAAAUGCGCAGAUAUCGGGAGGAACACCGGUGGCGAAGGCGGUUCUCUGGGCCUUACCUGACGCUGAGGAACGAAAGCGUGGGGAGCGAACAGG
rnacentral:rRNA from 1 species